AAGCCCACUAAAAAGUGCUACCAAGAAGAAAACGAAGCCUUUAUCAGAGACAAGUCGCGAGUCGAAAAGAAAUUACGAGUUAACACGGAUAAGCAAACGAGUAAACAUUGGAUAUGCGUUUGAGUCAUGGAGGCAGCUUCAACUUGAACUGGGACUGAAAACAGAUGCUGACAUGGCUCAUUUCCUACUGACCAGAUAUAAGAAGAAGGACCCCCCUGAAGCAGCUACUCUGGGAAGUAUGGAGAGGAAAGUCUCAACACCCAGCAAGGGAAAAGCUGCUAAACUCUGUCAUCGGUUAUCUCCAAUUGAACCUGUGUCUGAGGGGAGGCAAUGAGUGAGGACCAAGCUUUGGAUCCUUUGGAAGAAAG